rnacentral:rRNA from 1 species
UACAGAGGUGCCGAGCGUCAGGCGGAAUCACUGGGCUUAAAGCGUGUGUAGGCGGACUUCUAAGUACCUUGUGAAAUCCCACGGCUCACCCGUGGAACUGCUGGGUAUACUGGUCGUCUUGAGCCACCUAGGGGCGAGCGGAACAAAUGGUGGAGCGGUGAAAUGCGUAGAUAUCAUUUGGAACGCCAACGGUGAAAACAGCUCGCUGGGGGUGUGCUGACGCUGAGACACGAAAGCCAGGGUAGCGAACGGG